rnacentral:rRNA from 1 species
GACGUAGGGCGCGAGCGUUGUCCGGAUUUAUUGGGCGUAAAGAGCUCGUAGGCGGUUUGGUAAGUCGGAUGUGAAAUCUCCAGGCUCAACUUGGAGGGGUCAUUCGAUACUGCCAUGACUAGAGUCCGGAAGAGGCGAGUGGAAUUCCCGGUGUAGCGGUGAAAUGCGCAGAUAUCGGGAGGAACACCAAUGGCGAAGGCAGCUCGCUGGGACGGUACUGACGCUGAGACGCGAAAGCGUGGGGAGCAAACAGG